rnacentral:rRNA from 1 species
GAUGAACGCUAGCGGCAGGCCUAACACAUGCAAGUCGAGGGGUAGAGGAAGCUUGCUUCCUUGAGACCGGCGCACGGGUGCGUAACGCGUAUGCAAUCUACCUUUUACAGAGGGAUAGCCCAGAGAAAUUUGGAUUAAUACCUCAUAGUAUUUUCGAAUGGCAUCAUUUGAUUAUUAAAGUUCCAACGGUAAAAGAUGAGCAUGCGUCCUAUUAGCUAGAUGGUAAGGUAACGGCUUACCAUGGCAACGAUAGGUAGGGGUCCUGAGAGGGAGAUCCCCUACACUGGUACUGAGACACGGACCAGACUCCUACGGGAGGCAGCAGUGAGGAAUAGUGGACAAUGGGCGCAAGCCUGAUCCAGCCAUGCCGCGUGCAGGAAGACGCAUCUCUGGUGUUUAAACUGCUUUUGUACGGGAAGAAACACUCCCUCGUGAGGGAGCUUGACGGUACCGUAAGAAUAAGGAUCGGCUAACUCCGUGCCAGCCGCCGCAGUAAAAC